rnacentral:rRNA from 1 species
AUUGAACGCUGGCGGCAGGCCUAACACAUGCAAGUCGAACGAGUGGCGGACGGGUGAGCAAUGUCUGGGAAACUGCUCGUUGGCGGGGGAUAACUACUGGAAACGGUAUCUAAUACCGCAUACCAUCGGAUGUGCGCAGAUGGGAUUAGCUGGUAGGUGGGGUAACGGCUCACCUAGGCGACGAUCCCUAGCGGGUCUGAGAGGAUGAUCAGCCACACGGGAACUGAGACACGGUCCAGACUCCUACGGGAGGCAGCAGUGGGGAAUAUUGCACAAUGGGCGAAAGCCUGAUGCAGCCAUGCCGCGUGUAUGAAGAAGGCCUUCGGGUUGUAAAGUACUUUCAGCGGGGAGGCGUUACCCGCAGAAGAAGCACCGGCUAACUCCGUGCCAGCCGCCGCGGUAAUAC